UACGUAGGGUGCAAGCGUUGUCCGGAAUUAUUGGGCGUAAAGAGCUCGUAGGCGGUUCGUCGCGUCGGCUGUGAAAUCCCGAGGCUCAACCCCGGGUCUGCAGUCGAUACGGGCAGGCUAGAGUGUGGUAGGGGAGAUCGGAAUUCCUGGUGUAGCGGUGAAAUGCGCAGAUAUCAGGAGGAACACCGGUGGCGAAGGCGGAUCUCUGGGCCAUUACUGACGCUGAGGAGCGAAAGCGUGGGGAGCGAACAGG
rnacentral:rRNA from 1 species